rnacentral:sRNA from 1 species
ACCGGGUAUGGUGGCCCAUGCCUAUAGUUCUAACUACUCAGGAGGUUGAGGCAGGAGGAUUGCUUGAGCCCAGGAGGUCAAGGCUGCAGUGAGUCAUUACUGUACCACUGCACUCCAGCCUGGGCAACAGAGCAAGACCUCAUCUCUU